AGGACGAACGCUGGCGGCGUGCUUAACACAUGCAAGUCGAACGGAAAGGCCCUGCUUUUGUGGGGUGCUCGAGUGGCGAACGGGUGAGUAACACGUGAGUAACCUGCCCUUGACUUUGGGAUAACUUCAGGAAACUGGGGCUAAUACCGGAUAGGAGCUCCUGCUGCAUGGUGGGGGUUGGAAAGUUUCGGCGGUUGGGGAUGGACUCGCGGCUUAUCAGCUUGUUGGUGGGUAGUGGCUUACCAAGGCUUUGACGGGUAGCCGGCCUGAGAGGGUGACCGGCACAUUGGGACUGAGAUACGGCCCAGACUCCUACGGGAGGCAGCAGUGGGGAAUAUUGCACAAUGGGCGGAAGCCUGAUGCAGCAACGCCGCGUGCGGGAUGACGGCCUUCGGGUUGUAACCGACUUCGCCUGUGACGAAGCGUGAGUGACGGUAAUGGUAAAGUAAGACACCGGACUAACUAACGUGCCAGCAGCCGCGGU
rnacentral:rRNA from 1 species